GUGAGUUUUCAUCUGGGUUCAUAAGGUUUUAGCCAAUCUCUCUUCCUCUCUUCACUUUUCAGAACAUACUCAUAAUUUUUUCUGAUUUAUAGUUUAUACAGUGGUUCAUUUUUAAGGUACUUUUUGUUGUUCCACUCCAUUUUUUCCUUGUUCUGAUUGAUAUAUAUAUUUCGAAUUGUUUUUGCAGGUUUUUUUUUUCUUGGGUUAAAAUUUGAGUGCGAUGGUUUGAUUUGGUAAUGGGUAUUUGAUGUUGGUCGUUGCUGUUGAGUAUUGAAAAAUCCUCACCCUUUCAAACUACGAGCUCUUUUUGUAUUAUACUUGCAGCAAGAAAAUGCCUGGUUCACUUGGUCAUUGGGAACAAGCAAUGAAAACUUUUGCAGCAUGGGUAAGUAUAAGUUUCCUGAUUAAUCUUGAUGAGCAACCAAAAAACACUUCGAGCAUAGCUGUAAAGUAUAGUUUAUUUGAAGUAUGAUAAUUGCAACCAUGAAGGCACUAAGCCAAUAGUGCGGUAAUAAUUCCACUAGUUGCCUAUAACACUUCUUUUCUUGACGAGGUCCUUUCUUGUAUAAAUCCCCUAUAACGACAAGAGCUUUGAUGAAUGCUGGUAGACCAAAAA